rnacentral:misc_RNA from 1 species
GCUGAAGAACGUAGCGAAAUGCGAUAAGUAAUGUGAAUUGCAGAAUUCAGUGAAUCAUCGAAUCUUUGAACGCACAUUGCGCCCGCCAGUAUUCUGGCGGGCAUGCCUGUCCGAGCGUCAUUUCAACCCUCAAGCCCCAGCCGGCUUGGUGUUGGGGACCGGCCCCGGCCGCCCCCCAAAUGCAGUGGCGACCUCGCCGCAGCCUCCCCUGCGUAGUAGCACAACCUCGCACCGGAGCGCGGAGACGGUCACGCCGUAAAACGCCCACCUUCUCAGAGUUGACCUCGGAUCAGGUAGGAAUACCCGCUGAACUUAAGCAUAUCAAUAAGCGGAGGA